GUGAAAUCCAAUCUCUAGAACUAUACAAUACAACAACCACCCCAUUUUAGAACGAACUUCGUAGGAACCUGAAUUGUCCGAUUUCAAGGACUAAUCGAUAUCGGAUUGAGUCCAAAACUUGGGGAACAUCAUAAUAUUGUCGGAGGAGUCAUUUGGUGGGUUUUGAGUGAAAUCCAAUCUCCAGAACUAUACAAUACAGCAACCACCCCAUUUAUGAACGAACUUUGUACGAACCUGAAUUGUCCGAUUUCAAGGACCAAUCGAUAUCGGAUUGAGUCCAAAACUCAGGGAACAUCAUAAUAUUGUGGGAGUUGUCAUUUGGUGCCUUUUGGGUAAAAUCCAAUCUCCAGAACUAUACAAUACACCAACCAACCCAUUUCCAGAACGAACUUCGUACGAACCUGAAUUGUCCGAUUUCAAGGACCAAUCGAUAUCGGAUUGAGUCCAAAACUCGGGGAACAUCAGAAUAUUGUGGGAGUUGUCAUUUGGUGCCUUUUCGGUAAAAUCCAAUCCCUACAGCUAUACAAUGCACCAACCACUCCAUUUCAGAACGACCUUCAGACGAACUUGAAUUGUCCGAUUUCGUUGACCAAUCGAUAUCGGAUUGAGUCAAAAACCUGGGGAACAUCAUAAUAUUGUGGGAGGAGUCAUUUGGUGGGUUUUCAGUGAAAUCCAAUCUCUAGAACUAUACAAUACACCAACCACCCCAUUUCAGAACGAACAUCGUGCGAACAUGAAUUGUCCGAUUUCAAGGACCAAUCGAUAUCGGAUUGAGUCCAAAACUUGGGGAACAUCAUCAUAUUGUGGGAGGAGUCAUUUGGGGGGUUUUGAGUGAAAUCCAAUCCCUAGAACUAUACAAUACACCAACCACCCCAUUUCAGAACGAACUUCGUACGAAACUAAAUUGUCCGAUUCGAAGGACCAAUCGAUAUCGGAUUGAGUCCAAAACUUGGGGAACAUCAUAAUAUUGUGGGAGGAGUCAUUUGGUGGGUUUUUAGUGAAAUCCAAUCUCUACAACUAUACAAUACACCAACCACCCCAUUUCAGAACGAACUUCGUACGAACCGGAAUUGUCGGAUUUCAAGGACCAAACGAUAUCGGAUUGAGUCCAAAACUUGGGGAACAUCAUAAUAUCGUGGGAGGAGUCAUUUGGUGGGUUUUGAGUGAAAUCCAAUCUCUAGAACUAUACAAUACACCAACUACCCCAUUUCAGAACAAACUUCGUACGAACAUGAAUUGUCCGAUUUCAAGGACCAAUCGAUAUCGGAUUGAGUCCAAAACUUGGGGAACAUCGUAAUAUUGUGGGAGGAGUCAUUUGGUGGAUUUUGAGUGAAAUCCAAUCUCUAAAGCUAUACAAUACACCAACCACUCCAUUUCAGAUCGAAAUUCGUACGAACUUGAAUUCUCUGAUUUCACAAUCCAAUCGAUAUCGAAUUGAGUCCAAAACUUGGGGAACCUCAUGAUAUUGUGGGAGUCAUUUGGUGGCUUUUGGGUGAAAUCCAAUCCCUACAACUAUACAAUACACCAACCAUUCCAUUUCAGAACGACCUUCAUACGACGUUGAAUUGUCCGAUUUCAUUGACCAAUCGAUAUCGGAUUGAGUCCAAAACCUCGGGAACAUCAUAAUAUUGUGGGAGUUGUCAUUUGGUGCCUUUUGGGUAAAAUCCAAUCUCCAGAACUAUACAAUACACCAACCAACCCAUUUCCAGAACGAACUUCGUACGAACCUGAAUUGUCCGAUUUCAAGGACCAAUCGAUAUCGGAUUGAGUCCAAAACUCGUGGAACAUCAUAAUAUUGUGGGAGUUUUCAUUUGGUGGCUUUUGGGUAAAAUCUAAUCCCUACAGCUAUACAAUGCACCAACCACUCCAUUGCAGAACGACCUUCAUACGAACUUGAAUUGUCCGAUUUGAUGGACCAAUCGAGAUCUGAUUGAGUACAAAACCUGGGGAACAUCAUAAUAUUGUGGGAGGAGUCAUUUGGUGGGUUUUGAGUGAAAUCCAAUCUCUAGAACUAUUCAAUACACCAACCACUAUAUUUCCGAACGAACUUCGUACGAACCUGAAUUGUCCGAUUUCAAGGACCAAUCGAUAUCGGAUUGAGUCCAAAACUUAGGGAACAUCAUAAUAUUGUGGGAGGAGUCAUUUGGUGGAUUUUGAGUGAAAUCCAAUCCCUACAACUAUACAAUACACCAACCACUCCAUUUUAGAACGAACUUCGUACGAACCUGAAUUGCCAAAUUUCGUGGACCGAUCGAUAUCAGAUUGAGUCCAAAACUUGGGGAACAUCAUAAUAUUGUGGGAAGAGUCAUUUGGUGGGAUUUGAGUGAAAUAUAAUCCCUAGAACUAUGCAAUACACCAACCACCCCAUUUAUGAACGAACUUCGUACGAACCUGAAUUGUCCGAUUUGAAGGACCAAUCGAUAUCGGAUUGAGUCCAAAACUCAGGGAACAUCAUAAUAUUGUGGGAGUUGUCAUUUCGUGGCUUUUAGGUAAAAUCCAAUCUCCAGAACUAUACAAUACACUGACCACCCCAUUUAUGAACGAUCUUCGUACGAACCUGAAUUGUCCGAUUUCAAGGACCAAUCGAUAUCGGAUUGAGUCCAAAACUCGGGGAACAUGAUAAUAUUGUGGGAGUUGUCAUUUGGUGGCUUUUGGGUAAAAUCCAAUUUCCAGAACUAUACAAUACACCAACCAACCCAUUUCCAGAACGAACUUCGUACGAACCUGAAUUGUCCGCUUUCAAGGACCAAUCGAUAUUGGAUUGAGUCCAAAACUCGGGGAACAUCAUAAUAUUGUGGGAGUUGUCAUUUGGUGGCUUUUGGGUAAAAUUCAAUCCCUACAGCUAUACAAUGCACCAACCACUCCAUUUCAGAAUGACCUUCAUACGAACUUGAAUUGUCCGAUUUCAUUGACCAAUUGAUAUCGGAUUGAGUCCAAAACCUGGGGAACAUCAUAAUAUUGUGGGAGGAGUCAUUUGGUGGGUUUUGAGUGAAAUCCAAUCUCUAGAACUGUGCAAUACACCAACCACUCCAUUUCCGAACGAACUUCGUACGAACCUGAAUUGUCCGAUUUCAAGGACCAAUCGAUAUCCGAUUGAGUCCAAAACUCGGGGAACAUCAUAAUAUUGUGGGAGGAGUCAUUUGGUGGGUUUUGAGUGAAAUCCAAUCCCUAGAACUAUACAAUACACCGACCACUCCAUUUCAGAACGAACAUCGUACGAACUUGAAUUGCCCGAUUUCAUUGACCAAUCGAUAUCGGAUUGAGUCCAAAACUUGGGGAAAAACAUAAUAUUGUGGGAGGAGUCAAUUGGUUGGUUUUGAGUGAAAUACAAUCAAUAGAACUAUACAAUACACCAACCACACCAUUUCAGAACGAACUUCGUACGAACCUGAAUUGUCCGAUUUCGAGGACCAAUCGAUAUCGGAUUGAGUCCAAAACUUAGGUGAUAACUCAUAUAUUUAUACAUUUAUACCAUCCAUUUCUAGUAUAUUUGUGAUGUUUUUGAGUUAACUUGUUGCGUUUUAUCCUAUUUUGUGUUAGUAUGCAGUUGCAUAUACUUUAGGAUCAAGUUGAAGGCAAAAGAAAUGAAAACAUGCCAUUUUUGGAGCUGACCCUUAUUCAAACGUGGAAACAAGUUUCGUGACCUGUUUUGAAGUCCAAAUAAAGAAUGCAAGGCGAACCUGGCUUGUUUGAAGACUAAGAGCGGAAUGGGAAAGCAAUGGGGAUUUCUAGCCUAAUUUGGAGGUGCCAAAUAAGGCAAAAACGUGCAAAAUAAAGGCUGAUUCAUUAGGAUAUCUUUGGAACAUCUUGCAGCCUUGUUUACCCCAUAAAAACUUGCCUUUUAGCCACUUCUAAAACCCCUAUUUAUUUUGGACGAAUUUCACAACCCUAGAUCUGACUCCUUGGUUAUUCUCUCCUUUCAUGCACACUAAAACCCUAGCCGUCCAUAUAUUUCCACCAUCAGGACUCAGCGCAAGAGGUGGUUCUUGGAGAAGUUCAACAUCAGAAUUGGUUCAAGGGUUUCCUCUCAUGAAUUUAUUUUCACUCAUGUUGUUUAUUUUUGUUUUAAUCUCUUUGAACAUGAUGUGUAACUAAAUUCAUAGCUAGGGAUUUCGAUGUAGCCUUGCAACAUUGAUCCAUGUUUCUAAGUUAAAGUAUUCAGUUCAUCAAUUUGUUUCUUGUUUCAUUCACUGAAUCUAUUGUUCAAUUUGUUUGUCAAUUUUAAUGUUUGAUCACCAUUAGAGUCGCCUACAGAUUAUCUAGACAAGGUUAUAGUAAACAUCAUGCUUAAUCUUGUUAGACAUGUGAAUGAAUGAAGAGAAUGCUAUGCAAACAUCAUGCUGUGUAUUUUCUUUGGUUCUUUAACAUUUUCUUGCAUGCUAAUGACUCUUAACUUGGAACCAAAGUUGAACAUCCCAACUAGGUUGCAGAUUAGGAGAAUUUGAUCAAAACCACACAUCAUAUGGCUGAUCAUAUAUAUGUAAAACGAACUCUGGAAACAGGAUGGUAGUUGAGUACGGUUUAAUUUUAUAAACAUGGAAUUAGUUUUGCAAUGGUGAAUUCGAAAUCCCUGGUCUCUUCCCUAUUCUUUCUACAUCAAUAUAUUAUUCACUACUACAUUCUUUUUGCAUUGGAAGUUAUUUUUCAUUUACAACACAAAAACUACUUUCAAAUUGUCACUUUCAUUUUUAGUUACGGUUCUUUCAAAACUAGUAAUUUAUAGAGGUCCAAUCGGUCCCUGUGGUUCGACACCCUUACUUGUACCAUUAUACUAACCAUAUAUUGGCACCUGGAAGGAACACAACAUUAGGGAACAUUAUAAUAUUAUGGGAGGAGUCAUUUGGGGGAUUUUGAGUGAAAUCCAAUCUUUAGAACUGUGCAAUAGACCAACCAUUCCAUUUCAGAACACAGUUCGCACGAACCGGAAUUGGCCAAUUUCAUGGACCAACGAAUAUCGGAUUGAGUGCAAAACUUGGGGAACAUCGUAAUAUUGUGGGAGGAGUCAUUUGGUGGGUUUUGAGUGAAAUCCAAAAUCUAGAACUAUACAAUACACCAACCACCCCAUUUCAGAACGAACUUCGUACGAACCUGAAUUGUCCGAUUUCAAGGACCAAUCGUUAUCGGAUUGAGUCCAAAACUUGGGGAACAUCAUAAUAUUGUGGGAGUUGUCAUUUGGUGGGUUUUGAGUGAAAUCCAAUCUCUAGAGCUAUACAAUACACCAACCACUCCAUUUCAGAUCGAAAUUCGUAUGAACUUGAAUUCUCUGAUUUCACGGACCAAUCGAUAUCAAAUUGAGUCCAAAACUUGGGGAACCUCAUGAUAUUGUGGGAGGAGUCAUUUGGUGGCUUUUGGGUGAAAUCCAAUCCCUACAACUAUACAAUACACCAACCAUUCCAUUUCAGAAUGACCUUCAUACGACGUUGAAUUGUCCGAUUACAUUGACCAAUCGAUAUCGGAUUGAGUCCAAAACCUGGGGAAUAUCAUAAUAUUGUGGGAGGAGUCAUUUGGUGGGUUUUGAGUGAAAUCCAAUCUCUAGAACUAUACAAUACACCAACCACUCCAUUUCCGAACGAACUUCGUACGAACCUGAAUUGUCCGAUUUAAAGCACCAAUCGAUAUCGGAUUGAGUCCAAAACUUGGGGGACAACAUAAUAUUGUGGGAGGAGUCAUUUGGUGGGUUUUGAGUGAAAUCCAAUCCCUACAACUAUACAAUACACCAACCACUCCAUUUCGGAACGACCUUCGUACAAACUUGAAUUGUCCGAUUUCAUUGACCAAUCGAUAUCGGAUUGAGUCCAAAACUCGGGGAACAUCAUAAUAUUGUGGGAGUUGUCAUUUGGUGCCUUUUGGGUAAAAUCCAAUCUCCAGAACUAUACAAUACACCAACCAACCCAUUUCCAGAACGAACUUCAUACGAACUUGAAUUGUCCGAUAUCAAGGACCAAUCGAUAUCGGAUUGAGUCCAAAACUUGGGGAACAUCAUAAUAUUGUGGGAGGAGUCAUUUGGUGGGUUUUGAGUGAAAUCCAAUCUCUCGAACUAUACAAUACACCAACUACCGCAUUUCCGAACGAACUUCGUACGAAACUGAAUUGUCCGAUUUCAAGCUCCAAUCGAUAUCGGAUUGAGUCCAAAACUUGGGGAACAUCAUAAUAUUGUGGGAGGAGUCAUCUGGUGGGUUUUGAGUGAAAUCCAAUCCCUAGAACUAUACAAUACACCAACCACUCCAUUUUAGAACGAACUUCGUACGAACCUGAAUUGUCCGAUUACAAGGGCCAAUCGAUAUCGGAUUGAGGCCAAAACUUCGGAAACAACAUAAUAUUGUGGGAGGAGUCAUUUGGUGGAUUUUGAGUGAAAUCCAAUCUCUAGAACUAUACAAUACACCAACCACCCCAUGUCACAUGCCGGGAUCAACUCCACCGUAGCACGAUAUUUUCCGCUUUGGGCCCCCCCUCUGCCCGUACGAUUUUGUUUCUGGGAGCUCACGAGUAACUUCCCAGUGGGUCACCCAUCCUGGGAUUGCUCUGGCACUCAACUCGCUUAACUUCGGAGUUCCUACGACUCCGAAGCCAGUGAGCUCCCAAAAGGCCUCGUGCUAGAUGGAUGUGGGUGUGCACAUAUAAGGCACAUCACCCCCUCUCCGUUUGGUUGAUGUGGGAUCUUACAAUCCACCCCCCUUAAGGGCCCGACGUCCUCGUCGGCACACUCGCAGCACACGGCAGAGUGGCUCUGAUACCAAAUUGUCACACCCGGGAUCGGCUCCCCCGUAGCACAAUAUUGUCCGCUUUGGGCCCCCCUCACUGCCCUCACGGUUUUGUUUCUGGGAACUCUUGAGUAACUUCCCAGUGGGUCACCCAUCUUGGGAUUGCUCUAGCCCCCAACUCGCUUAACUUCGGAGUUCCUACGACUCCGAAGCCAGUGAGCUCCCAAAAAGCCUCGUGCUAGAUGGAUGCGAGUGUGCACAUAUAAGGCACAUCACCCCCUCUCCGUUGGUUGAUGUGGGAUCUUACAAUCCACCCCCCUUAAGGGCCCGACGUCCUCGUCGGCACACUCUCACCACACGGCAGAGUGGCUCUGAUACCAAAUUGUCACACCCCUGGAUCGGCUCCGCCGUAGCACGAUAUUGUCCGCUUUGGGCCCCCCUCACUGCCCUCACGGUUUUGUUUCUGGGAACUCACGAGCAACUUCCCAGUGGGUCACCCAUCCUGGGAUUGGUCUAGCCCCCAACUCGCUUAACUUCGGAGUUCCUACGACUCCGAAGCCAAUGAGCUCCCAAAAGGCCUCGUGCUAGAUGGAUGCACAUAUAAGGCACAUCACCCCUUCUCCGUUGGUUGAUGUGAGAUCUUCCAAUCCACCCCCUUAAGGACCCGACAUCCUCGUCGGCACACUCGCACCACACGGCAGAGUGGCUCUGAUACCAAAUUGUCACAUCCAGGGAUCGGCUCCGCCGUAGCACGAUAUUGUCCGCUUUGGGCCCCCCUCUCUGCCCUUACGGUUUUGUUUCUAGGAACUCACGAGCAACUUCCCAGUGGGUCACUCAUCCUGGGAUUGCUCUAGCCCCUAACUCGCUUAACUUCGGAGUUCCUACGACUCCGAAGCCGGUGAGCUCCCAAAAGGCCUCGUGCUAGAUGGAUGCGGGUGUGCACAUAUAAGGCACAUCACCCCCUCUCCGUUGGUUGAUGUGGGAUCUUACACCCCAUUUAUGAACGAACUUCGUACGAACCUGAAUUUUCCGAUUUCAAGGACCAAUCGAUAUUGGAUUGAGUCCAAAACUUGGGUAACAUCAUAAUAUUAUGGGAGGAGUCAUUUGGUGGGCUUUGAGUGAAAUCCAAUCCCUAGAACUUACAAUACACCAACCACUCCAUUUCAUGACGAACUUCGUAUGAACAUGGAUUGUCCGAUUUCAUGGACCAGUCGAUAUCGGAUUGAGUCCAAAACUUGGGAAACGUUGUAAUAUUGAGGGAGGAGUGAUUUGUUGCAUUUUGAGUGAAAUCCAAUCCCCAGAACUAUACAAUACACCAACCACUCCAUUUAAGAACGAACUUCGUACGAACCUGAAUUGUCAGAUUUCGAGGACCAAUCGAUAUCGUAUUGAGUCCAAAACUUGGGGAACAUGAUAGUAUUGUGGGAGGAGUCAUUUGGUGGGUUUUGAGUGAAAUCCAAUCCCUAGAACUAUACAAUACAUUAGCCAUUCCAUUUCAAAACGAACUUCGUACAAACCUGAAUUGUCAAAUUUCGUGGACCAAUCGAUAUCGGAUUGAGUCCAAAACUUGGGGAACAUCAUAAUAUUGUGGGAGGAGUCAUUUGGUGGCUUUUGAGUGAAAUCCAAUCUCUAGAACUAUACAAUACACCAACUACCCCAUUUCAGAACGAACUUCGUUGGAACCUGAAUAGUCCGAUUUCAAGGACCAGUCGAUAUCGGAUUGAGUCCAAAACUUGGGGAACAUCAUAAUAUUGUGGGAGGAGUCAUUUGGUGGCUUUUGAGUGAAAUCCAAUCUUUAGAACUAUACAAUACACCAACCACCCCAUUUCAGAACGAACUUCGUACGAACCUGAAUUGUCCAAUUUCAAGGACCAACAGAUAUCGGAUUGAGUCCGAAACUUGGGGAACAUCAUAAUAUUGGGGAGUUGUCAUUUGGUGGGUUUUGAGUGAAAUCCAAUCCCUAGAACUAUACAAUACACCAAAAACUUCAUUUCAGAAAAAACUUGUUGAGCCUAUUGUUAACAACUAAAAUGAGUUAUUAAAAACAGCAACUUUAAUUCUCGCAAGUGCACGAACCGUUUAUAGUAUAGCUUAUGUAAAUACGAGGUCGAUCCCACGGAGAAUGGUAACUUGGUUCCAAGUUAAAUUACUUAGAAUGUUAGAAAAAUAUAGAACAAAGAAACUGACUAACUAGCUAAAGGCAUGGUCGAAUUCAACAAUGCCUCUUGCUAAUUACUCAAGGUCUAGGACAGAAUCCUAGCACCACACACGCACUCGAAAUGGGGGGUUUUUUUGUUGAAAUGAAAACAAGAAAGUGAAAUGAAAGUGCUCGAAAGUGAACACUGGCAGCAAUCAACAAGUUGUGAAACAAUGAUUGAGAGGUGUUAGAGCCUUGGAAUCCACCACUAGUUUUCCUAUCCAAGUUAUGAAUGCAUAGAAAUUGACUCAAGCUUCAUUAGCAAUAGAUUAUCGCAUACAAGCCUAUGGUAUCUAGGUGCAGGAUGCAUGAUUCUCCUAAGGCAUGUGAUUAUGCAUGGUAUCUACACAACACGUGAUCUCUAAUAUGCAACCUAAGCAUGGUAUCUACUUAGAAUAAAGCAUACAAGAGUCAUUAAGCUCCUUGAGAAUAUGAUAAUCACACAAGUCCUAGAACAUGGUAUCUGUCCUAGUCAACCUAUGGUUAUUAACCCCUUGAAUGAUUCUUAGGCCAUUCAUGUGUUGCUUGUGAAAGGAGAGUAGAAUUGGUGAAUCUAAACCCCUUCCCAACCUGUGCUAGAUGCAUAAAAUCCUAGUUAGCUACUCCAAGAGAACAUACAUCAAGCACAUAAUAAACUAGAGAUUAACAACUUAAUAAUAAAAGCAAGGAAAUCAAUUAACUAUAAAAUCAUCCAUAACAUUGAAUAUUCAUGACUAGGGCUUCACCCUAAGCCCUAACUAAAUGGAUUAGUUAGACAUAACUAUGAAUACAGAAAAUAAGAAAUACAUAGAUAGGAUAAAGAGACGAGAAGAACUAGAUGAUGGGAGCAAGGAAGUUCCCAGGACAGCUCCAAGCUCCCUUCUCUCUUUGUGGUGAAUCUGAAUGUGUAUAUGAAAGUAAUGGAUGAAAUGAAUGUGUGUGUCUGCCCUCUCUCCCCUUGAAAGAGUGUGCAACUCUCUAUUUAUAGAGUGCAAUUUCGUGCUCCCCUUUGGCUGGUGAAGCACACCUCUCUUAGCUGCUGCCAACUGCUCUAGCUGCCCAUACAUGCCUGUUGCUCCAGCUGCCCAUACUUGCCUGUUGCUCCAGCUGCCCAUACUUGCCUGUUGGACUUUUCUUGGUUUUUGAGUUCCCAUACUGAUUUGUCUCCCAUGUGUGGCUGCUCUAAUGUGUAGCACAUGGCUCUAGGGAUGUAGCCACAUUAAAUAUGAUGGCAGCCAACAUGACAUUUCUGCGAACUUGGUUCAGUCUUUGACGUGUUGAGGGCUCCAGUUGUAUCCAAUUGGGCUGAACUUUGGAUAUGUUAUAAUAGACGCCCAUUGGAACAACGUCUAUGAAGGAUGUCUCCUCAUCUGACCUGUGUAAGUUACUGAAAUGAGGCCUGCAAGAUGACCUACGAAACUGGACUGACAAGGAGUGUGGCACAAAUUGGUUUUGUCUUUAAGCUCAUAUUCCACUUGUGCCACUCAGCCCUUAACAUGCAUGAAUUGUAUCAAAUGUCAUCCCCUUGCUAUAUUAACCUACAAAGCACACAAACAUAGGUAAGAGACUCAAAAUAAAGAGAAGCUAACAAAAUUACUAAGGAAAGAAGGCAUGCAAAUGUGUGAAAUUAUGAACUUAUCAAAUACCCCAAAACUUAGAUUUUGCUAGUCCUCGAGCAAAACAAAAUAAAACUACAACUUAGGAAACAGGAAAUAAGCAACUAGCCUUCCAAACAAUAUCCUCAAAGAAUCAUCAGUGUAAAUGGUUCCAAAGAAACACAACAAUCACAAUCUAAGUUCCACACAUGAUUCACGAGAAAGCAAAGCUAGCAUUGACACCCUUAAGUGUAGUGUGUGAAUGCCAAAUCCGAACAACACCUGCAUCUCAAAUAAGUACAUGUGCACACACUUAGAGCAAAAUCAAGAAUUCCGAACCCCAUAAGCUCAUUAUCCAAUCUGCUCUCCACAGUAAUACCAUGCAACACCAAGGAUCAAAAGGACUUUACAAGGGUAGUAAUGAGGUUUAGGGUAGUGGUUGAAUGAAAGAAGGGAUAUGAGAUAUACAAUAUUUUGAGCACACUUAAAGCACAGGUAAGAGCAUAAGAGAGUACUGAACUUUGUAACAAGCAAGGAACACAUACAUGAGCAGAUUUUCAACAUAAUUUCAGCACCUUGAAAUGUGUUUAUUUGGCCUAAUUUUGUGGCUCUUUACCCUAGAUCACAAUGAUGUUCUCCUUAUAACACCCUAGGGCCGUGACUACAUUGGUCACACUUCAUUACCUCUUUUGAUUAGUUACCAAUACCCCCAAACUUAUUUCUUUUCAACACUUGGGUUACGGCACCAAUUAUUCACUUUUGCUCUAUAAACCUUGCAUUCUUUAUAACUCUCUUUUGAAGAUAACUUUAAUUGCUCAUACAAUAAGUAAGGAUAAGAAAACAGAGGCUCAUUAUGGUAGGAUUCAUUUACACAAAGAAAGGCUUAACGUAGGCUCAAAUGGGAUGACUAGGGAUGAAUACAUGUAGAGGGAUGGUUAGAAAGGCUCAAACGGUUCAAACAUGGCCUAAAUCACUUCCUAAGCAUUGUAUGGCAACAAAAUGUCUCAAGAAAUAUUCAAAUAAGUUCUAGAGUACGAAACCAAGAUCAUGAGAUAACUAGAAUUGCAUAACGUCUCUAAGUAGCAAGAUGUUGGACUAACUUGGCAAAGUGCUCAAUAAGUGCAAGGAUGGCAUGCAGGACAAAGUUAACUUAGAAUCACACGCAGACCUUAAACAAUGACUAUCAAUUUCUGAAAAACCAUAAUAGUAUUAAAUCUAAGUCUUUAUCAUAGGUGUUUGGAAGGAUAACGAAACAACACACAAAAUCCUGCGUUUUUAGACAGUAGACACACUCAAAAAUUUUAAAAUUUGACAAUUUGAAACAGCAUAACUAAAUCCUUCCCCCCAAACUUAAAUGAAACAUUGUCCUCAAUGUUUAGAGUGUAAGAAAAAGCAAUGCCUCAUUAAUGAAAGGAAAGAAGACAAGGGAAAGACAUAACCAAAGGUUAGAUUUCAGAAAAACUCCCCUUUGAAGCGAUUAGGAUGCAAGCAAGCUUCCUCGCAUAUUCUAUCUUCUCCUCAUCACCUUGGGUUGCCUCCCAAGAAGCGCUAAGUUUCACGUCGUCAGCCGGACGUCCAAACUCUGGUGAGCUUUAAGAGAGUGGUGGAGGCUCCUUGAGUGCUUGAGACUCAAUAUUGGCAUCAAAGUUGGCAUCGAAGUAAGGUUUCAACCGAUGUCCAUUCACCUUGAAGGUGCUGCCAUCCUUAAUGUUUUGAAUCUCCACUGCGCCAUGAUUAAACACAUUAGUAAUAACAAAAGGGCCAAUCCACCGAGAACAAAGCUUACCUGGGAAGAGCUUAAGGCGUGAAUUGAAUAAGAGAACCUUCUGCCCUUUCUCAAACGUCUUCCUAAGAAUUUUCUUGUCGUGAUAUUGCUUUGUUUUCUCCUUGUAAAGCUUCGCAUUCUUAUACGCUUCAUGUCUCAACUCCUCCAGCUCAUUGAGUUGAAGCCUCCUCUUCUCACCAGCGGCUUUCAUAUCAAAAUUGAAGGCCUUGAUUGCCCAAUAAGCCCUGUGCUCAAGCUCCACUGGUAAGUGACAAGGUUUACCGAAAAUAAGUCUAUACGGAGACAUACCUAUAGGGGUCUUAUAAGCAGUCCUAUAAGCCCACAAUGCAUCAUCCAAACGCAUGGACCAAUCCUUCCUUGUGGUGUUCACUGUCUUUUCAAGUAUGUACUUAAUCUCCCUAUUGCUUAUAUCAACCUGCCCACUAGUUUGAGGAUGAUAGGGUGUUGCCACCUUAUGCGUGAUUCCAUAUCUCUUCAAGAGUGCUGCAAAAGCUUGGUUAACAAAGUGGGAGCCACCAUCACUAAUGAUUGCUCUAGGUGUGCCAAACCUUGUAAAAAUAUUUCCUUUGAGAAAACCGAUCACAACUUUAGCAUCAUUAGUUCUAGUGGCAAUGGCUUCCACCCAUUUAGAAACAUAAUCGACAGAAACUAAUAUAUAUUCAAAUCCAUAAGAGGUAGGAAAAGGGCCCAUGAAAUCAAUUCCCCAAACAUCAAAUAUAUCAAUGAUUAAGAUAUUGGUGAGAGGCAUCUGGUUUCUAGCAUGUAAAUUACCCAUCCGUUGGCAUCUAUCACAUGAAGCACAAAAAACAUAAGCAUCCUUAAAAAGGGUAGGCCAAAAGAAACCUGAUUGUAGCACCUUGCUGGCAGUCUUCUUUGCUCCAAAAUGGCCUCCGCAUGCGUGGGAGUGACAAAACUCCAGAAUGCUCUUAAAAUCACCUUCAGGCACACACCUUCGAAUUACUUGGUCUGGACAAUGCUUGAAUAGAUAGGGAUCAUCCCAAAAGUAGUAUCUUGCUUGCUUCCUAAGCUUGUCACGUUGGAACGUAGAUAACCCUGUAGGGAGUUCGUUAGUGCACAAAUAGUUAACAAUAUCAGCAAACCAAGGCAAUGGAUUGAGAGAAUUCAAAGCACAAAUGGAGAAGAGUUGCUCAUCAGGGAAGCUUUCACGCAAUGGCAAUGAAUCCUCCUCUUCGUUAGAUACAUGCACCAAUCUACUCAAGUGAUCAGCCACGACAUUCUCACUUCCUUUCUUAUCUUUUAUCUCCAAGUCAAACUCUUGCAACAAGAGAAUCCAUCUAAUGAGUCGCGGUUUGGCAUCCUUCUUAGCUAACAAGUAUUUCAAUGCUGCAUGAUCAGUGUAAACAAUAACCUUGUUAGUAAUCAAAUAUGAUCUAAACUUCUCUAAAGCAAAUAUGACGGCUAACAACUCCUUCUCUGUGGUGGAAUAGUUGAGUUGGGCAUCGUUGAGGGUUCUACUAGCAUAGUAGAUGGCAUGUGGCUUCUUAUCAACUCGCUGUCCCAAAACAGCUCCAACAACAUAAUCUGAGGCAUCACACAUCAAUUCAAAGGGCAAGCUCCAAUCCGGUGGUAUAAUGACUGGGGCAGUUGUGAGCAUCUUCUUCAAAGCAUUGAAAGCAUUCUCACAGUCUUGAUCAAACACAAAAUCCAUGUCCUUGGCAAGGAGAUUGCACAUAGGCCUUGCAAUCUUAGAAAAAUCCUUAAUGAAACGCCUAUAGAAACCUGCAUGGCCAAGGAAAGAACGUACUUCUUUGACAGAAGUAGGUGAGGGCAUAGAGGCAAUCAAAUCAAUCUUAGCUUUAUCUACCUCAAUUCCUUUACUAGAGAUGACAUGACCAAGAACUAUGCCUUGGUUAACAAUAAAAUGACAUUUUUCCCAAUUAAGCACAAGGUUAGUAUGUUCACAUCUAGCCAACACCUUGGAUAAGUUAUGCAAGCAUUGAUCAAAAGAAUCACCAAAGACAGAGAAGUCAUCCAUGAAUACCUCAAUGAACCUUUCUACCAUGUCGGAGAAAAUGCUCAUCAUGCACCUUUGAAAAGUGGCUGGGGCGUUACAGAGACCAAAAGGCAUCCUCCUAUAGGCGAAAGUGCCAAAGGGACAUGUGAACGUGGUCGAUCCGCAGGCCGUGCAGCUAUGGCGAUUUGGUUGUAGCCUGAAUAUCCAUCAAGGAAGCAAUAGUGGCUAUGCCCAGCUAAUCUCUCAAGCAUUUGAUCAAUGAAUGGAAGAGGAAAGUGAUCUUUGCUUGUUGCUGUGUUGAGCUUCCUAUAAUCAAUGCAAACUCUCCAGCCCGUGGUCAUCCGUGUAGGUACAAGCUCGUUUGCUUCAUUCUUCACCACUGUGAUACCUGACUUCUUGGGGACAACUUGCACUGGGCUCACCCAUUGACUGUCAGAAAUAGGGUAAAUAAUACCAACAUUUAAAAGCUUCAUUACCUCUUUUCUUACCACCUCCUUCAUGUUUGGAUUGAGACGUCUUUGGGCAUCCCUCUUAGGCAUUGCAUUGUCUUCCAAUAAUAUCUUGUGCAUGCACAGUGUUGGGCUUAUGCCUUUGAUAUUUGCAAUGCUCCACCCAAUCGCAGUUUUGUGCUCUUUUAGAACUCUCAAAAGCUUCUUUUCAUCAUUUGGUCCGAGAUGUGAGGCAAUGAUAACAGGUAGAGUCUCAUUUUCACCUAAAUAAGCAUAUUUAAGGUGUUUUGGCAAUUGCUUUAAUUCCAACUCUGGUGCCUGCACAAUAGAAGGUAAAACCUUAUUAGUAGGUGGGGGUAAUGAUUCAAAUUGGUUUGCAUACCUCUUUCCAAUUUCUAUGUAGCUAUCCAUGCUGCAAACAAGCUCAAGAAGUAAAAAGAUCACAGCCUCAAAGCUGUCCACUUCUUCUUUCCUUAUGCUUUGUGUGAUGCAUGCUUCAAUGGGCUCCAAAUAACUCAUUGGCAGUGCUUCUUUCACCAUAGUAUCAAUUGCAUCAAGAUGGAAAACUUCAUGCUCAUCACUUGGAAACUUGGAGGCUUCAAACACUUUGAAUGCUAUUGUCUCAUCAAACACAUUCAUGGUCAAUGUACCCUUCUUCACAUCAAUAAUAGCACCGGCAGUUGCCAUGAAUGGCCGACCUAGAAUGAGUGGUAACUGAUUGUCAUGAAUUGGUGCUUCUUCCAUCUCCAACACCAAGAAAUCUGCUGGCAAAAUUAGCUCUUCCACUUUCACCAAAACAUCUUCUAGAAUGCCCUUAGGGUACCUAAUAGUUCUAUCUGCCAAUUGAAUGCUCACAGAUGUGGCUUGCAACUCACCAAGGUUAAGUUUCUCAUAAACAUGAUAUGGCAUAAGAUUUAUAGAAGCACCAAGAUCAAGCAAAGCUUUUUGAAACUUAAAAUCACCAACUAUGCAAGGUAUAGAAAACGAACCUGGAUCCUUUAGCUUUGGAGGCAGGUUUCUUUGUAACACUGCACUUACCUCUUCACUCAAUGCAACUUGUUCAUGCUCUUUGAAUCUCCUCUUGUUAGUGCAUAGAUCCUUCAAAAAAUUUGCAUACUUUGGAAUCUGAGUAAUGGCAUUGAGCAAUGGGAUGUUGAUUUGCACCUUCUUGAAUGUUUCCAUUAUCUCAUCCAAGCCUUGAUCUUUCUUUGACUUUGAUAACCUGCUGGGAAAGGGUGCAAUAGGCCUAAAAGCAUUAGUUGAAAUUGGAACUUGAUUAGCAUUAGAUGAUACCUUAGGGCCUGUGCUCUUUCCAGGAGCAUUGAUGGACUGAUUGUUGGAAGCUGUGGGCUGCCCAUGUGGUGGCUGAAUGAUCUCCACGUUUUCUCCAUCUUCUUGUUCUUCAUUGGCAUCUCCAACCUUAUUAUCAACUUGUUUACCACUUCUCAAGAUGUGUACUGCUUUAGCAUGCUCUUGAUGCCUUGGAUUCACCUCCGUUUGGCUUGGGAAAGUUCCGGAUGCUCUAUUGCUCAUGGAGGAUGCAAUCUGCCCAACUUGCACUUCUAGUUUGUUCACUGCAUUUUGAAGAUUCUGAUUGGUUUGCAUCUGUUGCCCCAUGAACUUCUUGAACAUGUCUUGCAAUUCUCCCAUUUGAUCACCCCUUUGCUCUUGCACUUGUUGCGGAGCUUGUUGGAAUUGCCUUUGUUGUGUUUGGAAUCCUGGGGGAGGUCCUUGAGAUUGUUGCACAUUUGAAUUGUUGCUCCACCUGAAAUUAGGAUGAUUUCUCCACCCCGGAUUGUAUGUGUUUGAGUAAGGAUCAUUAUUAGGAUUCCUUGCUUGAAGGGAAUUUGCUUGUUCUAGCAUGUGCUCCGCAAAAGAUUGGUCUACAAACUUCCACUUUGUUUCCUAGAGGGCCAGUCACUGCCUGUUGAAGCAAAGAACACAUAACAUCAAGUUUUGCAGCAAUUUCAUUAUUAGUACUUACCUCAGAGACCACAGCUUUCAUAGGAGCUCCUCUUCCUUUAUUGUGGCUCCAUUGUUGAGAGUUAGCACUCAAGGAUUCAAAGAGAGUAAAAGCCUCAUCUGCUGUUUUGUUCAUCAGUCCUUCUCCACUUGUUGAAUCUACCAUCAUCCUUUCGGAAUCAAGUAAACCUUCAUAGAAAGAUUGCAUUUGCAUCCAACUCUCUAUGUUGUGGUGUGGGCAAGAACUUAUCAUCUCCUUGUACCUCUCCCAACAUUCAUGAAAAGCUUCUCCUUCCUUUUGUGUGAAACCAAGAAUUUCCUUUCUAAUCUUGUUAGUCUUUUGAGCCGGAAAAAAUUUCUGCAAAAACUUAUUAGAAAGCUCUUCCCAAGUAUGAAUUGAAGCAUUAGGAAAAGAGUAUAACCAAGACUUAGCUUUAUCUUUUAAACUGAAUGGGAAUAGCCUCAUCUUAAUCUGCUCAUCAUCAAGGUUUUGAAUUUUGAUCGUAGCACAUAUUUCAAAGAAUUGCUUAAUAUGCAUGUAAGGAUCCUCAGUGGUAUUACCAUAAUAAGUUGGAAGAAGAUGAAUCAUACCACUUUUAAGCUCAAACCUGUCAACUGUGAGUUGAGGAUAGACGAUGCAUAAAGGUUGAUCGGUGACUUUGGGAAUGGAAAACUCACGCAGGGAUUUUCUUGGUUGGACAACAAGCACACCACCUCCUUCAUCAUUGUUGUUGUUCGAAAUCUCUACCAUGUUGCUUGAACCUUCAGAUUCGUAACUUUUAGAUUCAACGCUUGAAGAACUAUAGUUCUUCCUCAAACCAGCAUGCACAGCAGCGGUUCUUGGUGAAAGUGGCUCAGGUGAACUUUGCUCCUGGUCAGAUUCGGACAUGCACACACCAAGGAAGUCAAUUCAGUGCCUUCAAUGGAGAUAACAACAAAAUACAAAACUGAAUACUAAAAGAAAAACCAACGAAAAGAAACAAAUGAAAUAAACAAAAACAAAACAAUCAAAGUAAUCUAACUAUAGCACCAUCAUUACCGGUUCCCCGGCAACGGCGCCAAAAACUUGUUGAGCCUAUUGUUAACAACUAAAAUGAGUUAUUAAAAACAGCAACUUUAAUUCUCGCAAGUGCACGAACCGUUUAUAGUAUAGCUUAUGUAAAUACGAGGUCGAUCCCACGGAGAGUGGUAACUUGGUUCCAAGUUAAAUUACUUAGAAUGUUAGAAAAAUAUAGAACAAAGAAACUGACUAACUAGCUAAAGGCAUGGUCGAAUUCAACAAUGCCUCUUGCUAAUUACUCAAGGUCUAGGACAGAAUCCUAGCACCACACACGCACUCGAAAUGGGGGGUUUUGUUGUUGAAAUGAAAACAAGGAAGUGAAAUGAAAGUGCUCGAAAGUGAACACUGGUAGCAAUCAACAAGUUGUGAAACAAUGAUUGAGAGGUGUUAGAGCCUUGGAAUCCACCACUAGUUUUCCUAUCCAAGUUAUGAAUGCAUAGAAAUUGACUCAAGCUUCAUUAGCAAUAGAUUAUCGCAUACAAGCCUAUGGUAUCUAGGUGCAGGAUGCAUGAUUCUCCUAAGGCAUGUGAUUAUGCAUGGUAUCUACACAACACGUGAUCUCUAAUAUGCAACCUAAGCAUGGUAUCUACUUAGAAUAAAGCAUACAAGAGUCAUUAAGCUCCUUGAGAAUAUGAUAAUCACACAAGUCCUAGAACAUGGUAUCUGUCCUAGUCAACCUAUGGUUAUUAACCCCUUGAAUGAUUCUUAGGCCAUUCAUGUGUUGCUUGUGAAAGGAGAGUAGAAUAGGUGAAUCUAAACCCCUUCCCAACCUAUGCUAGAUGCAUAAAAUCCUAGUUAGCUACUCCAAGAGAACAUACAUCAAGCACAUAAUAAACUAGAGAUUAACAACUUGAUAAUAAAAGCAAGGAAAUCAAUUAACUAUAAAAUCAUCCAUAACAUUGAAUAUUCAUGACUAGGGCUUCAUCCUAAGCCCUAACUAAAUGGAUUAGUUAGACAUAACUAUGAAUACAGAAAAUAAGAAAUACAUAGAUAGGAUAAAGAGACGAGAAGAACUAGAUGAUGGGAGCAAGGAAGUUCCCAGGACAGCUCCAAGCUCCCUUCUCUCUUUGUGGUGAAUCUGAAUGUGUGUAUGAAAGUAAUGGAUGAAAUGAAUGUGUGUGUCUGCCCUCUCUCCCCUUGAAUGAGUGUGCAACUCUCUAUUUAUAGAGUGCAAUUUCGUGCUCCCCUUUGGCUGGUGAAGCACACCUCUCUUAGCUGCUGCCAACUGCUCUAGCUGCCCAUACAUGCCUGUUGCUCCAGCUGCCCAUACUUGCCUGUUGGACUUUUCUUGGUUUUUGAGUUCCCAUACUGAUUUGUCUCCCAUGUGUGGCUGCUCUAAUGUGUAGCACAUGGCUCUAGGGAUGUAGCCACAUUAAAUAUGAUGGCAGCCAACACGAUAUUUCUGUGAACUUGGUUCAGUCUUUGACGUGUUGAGGGCUCCAGUUUUAUCCAAUUGGGCUGAAAUUUGGAUAUGUUAUAAUAGACACCCAUUGGAACAACGUCUAUGAAGGAUGUCUCCUCAUCCGACCUGUGUAAGUUACUGAAAUGAGGCCUGCAAGAUGACCUACGAAACUGGACUGACAAGGAGUGUGGCACAAAUUGGUUUUGUCUUUAAGCUCAUAUUCCUCUUGUGCCACUCAGCCCUUAACAUGCAUGAAUUGUAUCAAAUGUCAUCCCCUUGCUAUCUUAACCUACAAAGCACACAAACAUAGGUAAGAGACUCAAAAUAAAGAGAAGCUAACAAAAUUACUAAGGAAAGAAGGCAUGCAAAUGUGUGAAAUUAUGAACUUAUCAAAUACCCCCAAACUUAGAUUUUGCUAGUCCUCGAGCAAAACAAAAUAAAACUACAACUUAGGAAACAGGAAAUAAGCAACUAGCCUUCCAAACAAUAUCCUCAAAGAAUCAUCAGUGUAAAUGGUUCGAAAGAAACACAACAAUCACAAUCUAAGUUCCACACAUGAUUCACGAGAAAGCAAAGCUAGCAUUGACACCCUUAAGUGUAGUGUGUGAAUGCCAAAUCCGAACAACACCUGCAUCUCAAAUAAGUACAUGUGCACACACUUAGAGCAAAAUCAAGAAUGCCGAACCCCAUAAGCUCAUUAUUCAAUCUGCUCUCCAUAGUAAUACCAUGCAACACCAAGGAUCAAAAGGAGUUUACAAGGGUAGUAAUGAGGUUUAGGGUAGUGGUUGAAUGAAAGAAGGGAUAUGAGAUAUACAAUAUUUUGAGCACACUUAAAGCACAGGUAAGAGCAUAAGAGAGUACUGAACUUUGUAACAAGCAAGGAACACAUACAUGAGCAGAUUUUCAACAUAAUUUCAGCACCUUGAAAUGUGUUUAUUUGGCCUAAUUUUGUGGCUCUUACCCUAGAUCACAUUGAAAUGUGNNNNNNNNNNNNNNNNNNNNNNNNNNNNNNNNNNNNNNNNNNNNNNNNNNNNNNNNNNNNNNNNNNNNNNNNNNNNNNNNNNNNNNNNNNNNNNNNNNNNNNNNNNNNNNCUCCUCGCUCAUUGCGACAGUAGUGUAUUUCAACACUUGGGUUACGGCACCAAUUAUUCACUUUUGCUCAAUAAACCUUGCAUUCUUUAUAACUCUCUUUUGAAGAUAACUUUAAUUGCUCAUACAAUAAGUAAGGAUAAGAAAACAGAGGCUCAUUAUGGUAGGAUUCGUUUACACAAAGAAAGGCUUAACAUAGGCUCAAAUGGGAUGACUAGGGAUGAAUACAUGUAGAGGGAUGGUUAGAAAGGCUCAAACGGUUCAAACAUGGCCUAAAUCACUUCCUAAGCAUUGUAUGGCAACAAAAUGUCUCAAGAAAUAUUCAAAUAAGUUCUAGAGUACGAAACCAAGAUCAUGAGAUAAGUCCGAUUUCAAGGACCAAUCGAUAUCAGAACGAACUUCGUUGGAACCUGAAUAGUCCGAUUUCAAGGACCAAUCGAUAUCGGAUUGAGUCCAAAACUUGGGGAACAUCAUAAUAUUGUGGGAGGAGUCAUUUGGUGGCUUUUGAGUGAAAUCCAAACUUUAGAACUAUACAAUACACCAACCACCCCAUUUCAGAACGAACUUCGUACGAACCUGAAUUGUCCGAUUUCAAGGACCAAUCGAUAUCGGAUUGAGUCCAAAACUUGGGGAACAUCAUAAUAUUGUGGGAGUUGUCAUUUGGUGGGUUUUGAGUGAAAUCCAAUCCCUAGAACUAUACAAUACACCAAAAACUUCAUUUCAGAACGAACUUCGUACGAACUUGAAUUGUCUGAUUUCAUGGACCAUUCGAUAUCAGAUUGAGUCCAAAACUUGGGGGACAUCAUAGUAUUGUGGGAGGAGUCAUUUGGUGGCUUUUGGGUGAAAUCCAAUCCAGACAACUAUAAAAUACACCGACCACUCCAUUUCAGAACGACCUUCAUACGAACUUGAACUGUCAGAUUUCAUUGACUAAUCGAUAUCGGAUUGAGUCCAAAACUUGGGGAACACCAUAAUAUUAUGGGAGGAGUCAUUUGGUGGGUUUUGAGUGAAAUCCAAUCUCUAGAACUAUACAAUACACCGACCACCCCAUUUCAGAACAAACUUCGUACGAACCUGAAUUGUCCGAUUUCAAGGACCAAUCGAUAUCGGAUUGAGUCCAAAACUUGGGGAACAUCAUAAUAUUGUGGGAGGAGUCAUUUGGUGGGUUUUGAGUGAAAUCCAAUCCCUAGAACUAUACAAUACACCAACCACCCCAUUUCAAAACGAACUUCGUACGAAACUGAAUUGUCUGAUUUCAUUGACCAAUUGAUCACAGAUUGAGUCCAAAACUUGGGGAACAUCAUAAUAUUGUGGGAGGAGUCAUUUGGUAAGUUUUCAGUGCAAUACAAUCCCUAGAACUAUACAAUACACCAACCACUCCAUUUCAGAACGAACUUCGUACAAACCUGAAUUGUCAAAUUUCGUGGACCACUCGAUAUCCGAUUGAGUCCGAAACUUGGGGAACAUCAUAAUAUUGUGGGAGGAGUCAUUUGGUGGGUUUGAGUGAAAUCCAAUCUCUAGAACUANNNNNNNNNNNNNNNNNNNNNNNNNNNNNNNNNNNNNNNNNNNNNNNNNNNNNNNNNNNNNNNNNNNNNNNNNNNNNNNNNNNNNNNNNNNNNNNNNNNNUGGGGAACAUCAUAAUAUUGUGGGAGGAGUCAUUUGGUGGGUUUCGAGUGAAAUCCAAUCUCUAGAACUAUACAACACACCAACCACCCCAUUACAGAACGAACUUAGUAGGAACCUGAUUUGUCCGAUUUCAAGGACCAAUAGAUAUAGGAUUGACUCCAAAACUUGGGGAACAUCAUAAUAUUGUGGGAGGAGUCAUUUGGUGUGUUUUUAGUGAAAUCCAUUCUCUAGAACUAUACAAUACACCAACCACCCCAUUUCAGAAGGAACUUCGUACGAGCCUGAAUUGUCCGAUUUCAAGGACAAAUCGAUAUCGGAUUGAGUCCAAAACUUGGGGAACAUCAUAAUAUUGUGGGAGGAGUCAUUUGGUGGGUUUUGAGUGAAAUUCAAUCUCUAGAAUGAUACAAUACACCAACCACCCCAUUUCAGAAUGAACUUCGUACGAAUCUGAAUUGUCAGAUUUCAAGGUCCAAUCGAUAUCGGAUUGAGUCCAAAAAUUGGGGAACAUCAUAAUAUUGUGGGAGUUGUCAUUUGGCGGGUUUUGAAUGAAAUCCAAUCCCUAGAACUAUCCAAUACACCAACCCCUCCACUUCAGAAGGAACUUCAUACGAACUUGAAUUGUCAAAUUUCGUAGACCAAUCGAUAUCGGAUUGUGUCCAAAACUUGGGGAACAUCAUAAUAUUGUGGGAGCCGUCAUUUGGUGGGUUUUGAGUGAAAUCCAAUCUUUAGAACUAUACAAUACACCAACCACUCCAUUUCAUAACGAACUUCGUACUAACCUGCAUUCUCAAAUUUCGUGGACUGAUCGAUAUCGGAUUGAGUCCAAAACUUGGGGAACAUUAUAAUAUUGUGGGAGGAGUCACUUGGUGGGUUUUGAGUGAAAUCCAAUCUCUAGAACUAUACAAUACACCAACCACCCCAUUUCAGAAUGAACUUCGUAGGAACCUGAAUUGUCCGAUUUGAAGGACCAAUCGACAUCGGAUUGAGUCCAAAACUUGGGGAACAUCAUAAUAUUGUGGGAGGAGUCAUUUGGUAAGUUUUGAGUGAAAUACAAUCCCUAGAACCAUACAAUACACCACCCACUACAUUUCAGAACGAACUUCGUACGAACUUGAAUUGUCAAAUUUCGUGGACCGAUCGAUAUCGGAUUGAGUCCAAAACUUGGGGAGCAUAAUAAUCUUGUGGGAGGAGUCAUUUGGGGGGUUUUGAGUGAAAUCCAUUCUCUAGAACCAUACAAUACACCAACCACCCCAUUUCAGAACGAACUUCGUACGAACCUGAAUUGUCCGAUUUGAAGGACCAAUCGAUAUCGGAUUGAGUCCAAAACUUGGGGAACAACAUAAUAUUGUGGGAGGAGUCAUUUGGUUCGUUUUGAUUGAAAUCCAAUCUCUAGAACUAUACAAUACACCAACCACCCCAUUUCAGAACGAACUUCGUAGGAACCUGAAUUGUCCGAUUUCACGGACCAAUCGAUAUCGGAUUGAGUCCAAAACUUGGGGAACAUCAUAAUAUUGUUGGAGGAGUCAUUUGGUGGGUUUUGAGUGAAAUCCAAUCUCUAGAAUUAUACAAUACACCAACCACCCCAUUUCAGAACGAACUUCGUACGAACCUGAANNNNNNNNNNNNNNNNNNNNNNNNNNNNNNNNNNNNNNNNNNNNNNNNNNNNNNNNNNNNNNNNNNNNNNNNNNNNNNNNNNNNNNNNNNNNNNNNNNNNNNNNNNNNNNNNNNNNNNNNNNNNNNNNNNNNNNNNNNNNNNNNNNNNNNNNNNNNNNNNNNNNNNNNNNNNNNNUAAGGACCAAUCGAUAUCGGAUCAGUCCAAAACUUGGGGAACAUCAUAAUAUUGUGGAGGGAGCCAUUUGGUAAUUUUUGAGUGAAAUACAUUCCCAAGAACUAUACAAUUCACCACCCAGUCAAUUUCAGAACGAAAUUGAUGGGAACUUGAAUAUUCAAAUUUCAUGGACCAAUUAAUAUCGGAUUGAUUCCAAAACUUGGGGAAAAUCAUAAUUUGUUGGGGGUAGUCAUUUGGGGGGUUUUGAGUGAAAUCCAUUCUCUGGAACUAUCCAAUACACCAACCACCCCAUUUCAGAAGGAAUUUGGUACGAACCUGAAUGUCCGAUUUGAAGGACCAAUCGAUAUCGGAUUGAGUCAAAAACUUGGGGAACACCAUAAUAUUGUGGGAGGAGUCAUUUGGUUCGUUUUGAGUGAAAUCCAAUCUCUAGAAUUAUACAAUACACCAACCACCCCAUUUCAGAAUGAACUUCGUAGGAACCUGAAUUGUCCGAUUUCAAGGAGCAAUCGAUAUCGGAUUGAGUCCAAAACUUGGGGAACAUCAUAAUCUUGUGGGACGAGUCAUUUGGUGGGUUCUGAGUGAAAUCCAAUCUUUAGAACUAUACAAUACACCAACCACCCCAUUUCAGAAUGAACUUCGUCGGAACCUGAAUUGUCCGAUUUUAAGGACCAAUCGAUAUCGGAUUGAGUCCAAAACUUGGGGAACAUCAUAAUAUUGUGGAAGGAACCAUUUGGUAAGUUUUGAGUGAAAUACAAUCCCCAGAACUAUACAAUUCACCACCCACUCAAUUUCAGAACGAACUUCGUGCGAACUUGAAUUGUCAAAUUUCGUGGACCGAUCGAUAUCGGAUUGAGUCCAAAACUUGGGGAGCAUCAUAAUCUUGUGGGAUUAGUCAUUUGGGGGGUUUUGAGUGAAAUCCAUUCUCUAGAACUAUACAAUACACCAACCACCCCAUUUCAGAACGAACUUCGUACGAACCUGAAUGUCCGAUUUGAAGGACCAAUCGAUAUCGGAUUGAGUCCAAAACUUGGGGAACACCAUAAUAUUGUGGGAGGAGUCAUUUGGUUCAUUUUGAGUGAAAUCCAAUCUCUAGAAUAUACAAUACACCAACCACCCCAUUUCAGAAUGAACUUCGUACGAACCUGAAUUGUCCAAUUUCAAGGACCAAUCGAUAUCGGAUGAGUACAAAAGUUGGGGAACGUCAUAAUAUUGUGGGAGGAGUCAUUUGGUGGGUUUUGAGUGAAAUACAAUCUCUAGACCUAUACAAUACACCAACCACCCCAUUUCAGAACGAACUUCGUACGAACCUGAAUUGUCCGAUUUCAAGGACCAAUCGAUAUCGGAUUGAGUCCAAAACUUGGGGAACAUCAGAAUAUUGUGGGAGCAGUCAUUUGGUGCGUUUUGAGUGAAAUCCAAUCUUUAGAACUAUACAAUACACCAACCACCUCAUUUCAGAACGAACUUCGUACGAACCUGAAUUGUCCAAUUUCAAGGACCAAUCGAUAUCGGACUGAGUACAAAGGUUGGGGAACGUCAUAAUAUUGUGGGAGGAGUCAUUUGGUGGGUUUUGAGUGAAAUCCAAUCUCUAGACCUAUACAAUACACCAACCUCCUCAUUUUAGAACGCACUUCGUACGAAUCUGAAUUGUCCGAUUUGAAGGACCAAUUGAUAUCGGAUUGAGUCCAAAACUUGUGGAACAUCAUAAUCUUGUGGGAGGAGUCAUUUGGUGGUUUUGAGUGAAAUCCAAUCUCUAGAACUAUACAAUACACCAACCACCCCAUUUCAGAAUGAACUUCGUAGGAACCUGAAUUGUCCGAUUUCAAGGACCAAUCGAUAUCGGAUUGAGUCCAAAACUUGGGGAACAUCAUAAUAUUGUGGGAGGAGUCAUUUGGUAAGUUUUGAGUGAAAUACAAUCCCCAGAACCAUACAAUUCACUGCCCAUUCCAUUUAGAACGAAUUAGUAAAAACGUGAAUUGUCAAAUUUUGUGGACCGAUGGAUUCGGAUUGAGUCCAAAACUUGGGGAGCAUCAUAAUCUUGUGGGAGGAGUCAUUUGGGGGGUUUUGAGUGAAAUCCAUUCUCUAGAACUAUACAAUACACCAACCACCCCAUUUCAGAACGAACUUCGUACGAACCUGAAUUGUCCGAUUUGAAGGACCAAUCGAUAUCGGAUUGAGUGCAAAACUUGGGGAACACCAUAAUAUUGUGGGGGGAGUCAUUUGGUUCGUUUUGAGUGAAAUCCAAUCUCUAGAAUUAUACAAUACACCAACCACCCCAUUUAAAAAUGAACUUCGUAGGAACCUGAAUUGUCCGAUUUCAAGGACCAAUCGAUAUCGGACUGAGUCUAAAGGUUGGGGAACAUCAUAAUAUUGUGGGAGGAGUCAUUUGUUGGUUUUGAGUGAUAUCCAAUCUCUAAAACUAUACAAUACACCAACCACCCCACUUAUGAACGAACUUCGUACGAACCUGAAUUGUCCGAUUUCAAGUACCAAUCGAUAUCGGAUUGAGUCUGAAACUUGGGGAACAUCAUAAUAUUGUGGGAGGAAUCAUUUGGUGGGUUUUGACUGAAAUCCAAUCUCUAGACCUAUACAAUACACCAACCUCCUCAUUUCAGAACGAACUUCGUACGAACUUGAAUUGUCCGAUUUCAAGGACCAAUUGAUAUCGGAUUGAGUCCAAAACUUGGGGAACAUCAUAAUCUUGUGGGAGGAGAAAUUUGGUGGUUUUGAGUGAAAUCCAAUCUCUAGAACUAUACAAUACACCAACGACUCCAUUUCAGAACGAACUUCGUACGAACCUGAAUUGUCCGAUUUCAUUGACCAGUCGAUAACGGAUUGAGUCCAAAAGAUGGGGAACAUCAUAAUAUUGUGGGAGGAGUCAUUUGGUAUGUUUUGAGUGAAAUACAAUCCCUAGAACUAUACAAUACACCAACCACUCCAUUUCAGAAUGAACUUCGUACGAACCUGAAUUGUCAAAUUUCGUGGACCGAUCGAUAUCGGAUUGAGUCCAAAACUUGGGGAACAUCAUAAUAUUGUGGGAGGAGUCAUUUGGUGCGUUUUGAGUGAAAUCCAACCUCUAGAGCUAUACAAUGCACCAAUCACCCCAUUUCAGAACGAACUUCGUACGAACAUGAAUUGUCCGAUUUCAAGGACCAAUCGAUAUCGGAUUGAGUCCAAAAGUUGGGAAACAUCAUAAUAUUGUGGGAGGAGUCAUUUGGUGGGUUUUGGGUGAAAUCCAAUCUCUAGACCUAUACAAUACACCAACCUCCUCAUUUCAGAACGAACUUCGUACGAACCUGAAUUGUCCGAUUUCAAGGACCAAUCUAUAUCGGACAGAGUCCAAAAGUUGGGGAACGUCAUAAUAUUGUGGGAGGAAUCAUUUGGUAAGUUUUGAGUGAAAUACAAUCCCCAGAACCAUACAAUACACCAACCACCCCAUUUCAGAACGAACUUUGUACGAACCUGAAUUCUCCGAUUUCAAGGACCAAUCGAUAUUGGAUUGAGUCCAAAACUUGGGGAGCAACAUAAUCUUGUGGGAGGAGUAAUUUGGUGGGUUUUUAGUGAAAUCCAAUCUCUAGAACUAUACAAUACACCACCCACCCCAUUUCAGAACGAACUUCGUACGGACCUGAAUUGUCCGAUUUCAAGGACCAAUCGAUAUCGGAUUGAGUCCAAAACUUGGGGAACAUUAUAAUAUUGUGGGAGGAGUCACUUGGUGGGUUUUGAGUGAAAUCCAAUCUCUAGAACUAUACAAUACCCCAACCACCCCAUUUCAGAACGAACUUCGUAGGAACCUGAAUUGUCCGAUUUCAUGGACCAAUCGAUAUCGGAUUGAGUCCAAAACUUGGGGAAUAUCAUAAUAUUGUGGGAGGAGUCAUUUGGUGGGUUUUGAGUGAAAUCCAAUCUCUAGAACUGUACAAUACACCAACCACCCCAUUUCAGAAC
rnacentral:lncRNA from 1 species